rnacentral:lncRNA from 1 species
AGAGAUCCUAACACCUCACACACAAACUCCCUGAACGGUUCAGAUUGCACACACACUCGCAGUGACAGUCCUCACAUGCCCCGUUUGGCAGCCAAAACGGAGAGACCGAGGUCACAGCGCUUACUGGGAUCAUCAAAUUGUUGCCGUGGUGACCGAACAUUGGAAAGUCUGACUCAUAAUGGAAGAGAUAUCCCAUGGGUCUUUUCUACUCACUGAGCUGUACAUUAAUCCAGCACAACGGCUCUAUAAAAAGAACCAGACCUGCAGAGAGAGAACUUCACCAGGCUCAUUUGAGGUGGGUGAUGUGUCCAG